GCCUAUACCAGCUGUCGGCUCAGCUGAUUACCUUUGAUGCGUUCAAGCGCCAAAUGUCAAAAUGGGUGUUCUGUUUAAACUGCUGUAACCUGUGUACUCUUACUGUGUCCUACAAAAACCACUUUGCAACCUGCCUCCAACCCAGCUGCUCCUUUUUAUGCUGAGUCUGACUUUACUCGUGUUAUAAUGAACUGUCAAUAGCAACGUUUACACGGGCAAAAUUUCUUCAUCCGAUUAAAAAUUUGAGGGAUCGGAUAAUCUGAAUCCUCUGUCUAUAUAAGUGCAAUAUCAAAUAAUCUGAUCAUGAUGUGCGCAUACAUGCACCAAGUUUUAUUCAGAUAUGAAGCAUUUGGACAUGUGCAGAGUUGUCUAAUUUCGCUAAAACAACAGCAGAAAAAGAGUUAUAUUGACGCCUGUGCUGUCAACAAACCAAAAAACGCAGUAGUGGCUCACUCCAUCCUAUUCAGGAUGACCCCCCCCCUGUUAAAUGUUGUCACUAGAUGGCGCCCUUGCUUACUUAUUUCACUGUUCUGUCAAAGGUUGCUCUGCGUGUGGAGAUGUGACAUCAUUACGCUGUAUGUACGCCGUAACACGGCGUGACACCUGCAGUCGUGUUAGUGUUAAUAAUGAAACCUCCUGUACUGGUCUCAAUAAAUCAGCCAAAGGCGAAAGAGUGAAGAUCGAGUCAGGUAAGAGAGUCACGAUCUGAAUAACUAUUUACAUGGAUGUGUUUCAAAGUAAUGAUCUGCAUACACCAGCCUGUUCAAUCGGAAUGCAAUUUCUUUCUGAUUGAGCCGAAUUGGAUCAGAAUCUUCCGAUGGACGUGUUUACAUGAUGCAUUUUUAUGCAGCAUUUAUUCCUAUUAUUUGUGACUAUGUCAACAUGGCUGAUCUGCACUCUGGGGGGUCUUUGCUGCUCCUCCUGCCUUGGCUUUUCAUGCAUGCACAUGGAACAGGGGGUAGGCCUUGGCAUUAAAAGUAGUCCUGACUGAAACAUGCUUUUUAUUGAUAUUAAAUUUUGCAAAUGUCAGUUGUUUUUUGUGAAUAAUAUUAGGAAUAUUAGGAUACAUGACCGGAAUUCAUUCACCAGGAUGUGGAAAUGAACAACUCACCACUUUGUUCUCUCUCAUCCUGCCAACUCUGCAACGGUCCUGGUUUUGAAACAUAAAUACCAAAAUAAACAUGGAGUAAAUGGAGAAGAUAAACAGCAGAGAUUAUGAAGACCACACAGACAACAACGAUCAUUUCUGCGCCAUCGUCUGAGGGAUCAAACACUGGCUUCAGUCCUGGCCACAUCGAUCUUUUCCGCCAAACAUCUAGCUAACAUUCAGGCAUCAUGAGCUCCUCUGUUCCCCUCUUCAAAGUGACCUCUGAAACUUCCAAAUUAUUUCCCCAAAGGUUGGCUAGAUUCUGUGAUACCUGACUUCUGUGUGAGCCAUGGGAGCUGUGUUACCAGAGCAUGACUGUGUUUAGAAAUGCAGCAUGGCUGCCUUCACCAGAGUGUCUCUUUUACAACAUGCAUUUGAAAGGGCAGAGGAGGAGGCCUGCACAUGUACUGGAAACAAAACUUUGAGCUUUAAAAGUAGUUGCGCUGAUUUUGUCCUCAAAAAUGUUGAUGCAUCAAUUGGAGAAACUCUAGGUCAUCGAUUUAAGAUUGGAACCACUUACCUCUGCAGCCUAUUCCAGAUGUUAUUAGGUAAUAGCCUGGGUACACUGCUGGUUAGGUUGCAAAUCAAUUGCAGGUCUGGAAAAAACAAAACAAAACAAAAAAAAAAAAAACAGUUAACCUGAAAAGCAUAUCAAGAACACAGCUGAGUUAAAAAAUGUGCGUGGGGUCCCGAUAAAGCCAGGAUAUCAACUAAAUAUACUGUACAGUGCUACCAAACGCAGGAUAGUAAGGGAAAGAUGGUCGCGUCUGUUAAAAUAAUGAAUGUACAGUGUAUGGAGACCCCUGUAGAUUGGAGUUGUAGACCCCGUUCUUUGCAGAGAGCAUGUUUAAAGCUUGCCAAGGUCUUGGACUUGUAAUUUUGAGUCUUAUUUACUGAAUAAAAGAAAAACGUCUAAGGCUGAUUUUCAGUUUUCUGUUUUCCAGUGUACUUCAUGCACCACCAUGCAUAACAGUGACAGGACAUUAACAUUUUAUUUGACUUGUGUCCUGCUUUAUUCCAUUUGACUGGAUCAUUUGUGCAACCCUCCCUUUUCUUUCCAACCCUAUAGAAAGUAAAAGUUGAUGUUGGACAGUCCUGCCUGACCACUGAUGCUAUUUAAUUUUAAAUGUAAAGGUCGGCUUCCUUCAAACGUCUGUGCAGAGGACAAACAGUGAACAGUCAGGAGGCUAAUUGUGGUUAUGGAAAUGAAACUUUGACUCAGCUAAGGUAGAUGUCUAGUAUGGGGAUUGUUUGCUGAGUUUGGGGAAAGAUUUGAACUCUGGUCUUCUGAAAGAUAUCUGAGAUGCGUCGAUGUAGCAUUAUUGAAAAACCGUGUAUGUAUGUGGAUGUGUUUUGUGCGGAUGAGUUUACAUGGUUGUCAGGUGAAGGUUGGGUGUGACUCAUUCAGAGUCUAUGACACAUGUCACAUAGAGGGUGUGUGUCAACACAGAGAUGAGAAGAAGUUGAUGGAUAUGACGAAUAAUCAGUGAACUCCUGAUGAGCUUUUCCAUUUUCUUCUGCUUCUCUCUUCCCCAUCGCAGUUUUUCUGCAUCCUGCACUGACUACCAGCUUAAAAGUCGAGUUUGUGGAAGAGCUGGACAAGACGACCCAGGAGUAAUUUAUGUGAACUGCUUUAUGAGAUUUAAUAAUUCUUUCGAACAAAUGAAAAAGUUGCCAGCUGAAGCUAAAUCACAGUGUUUUUAAUGUUUGAAGCUGCUCCACCAGGUGGGUAACAUUUCACAAGCUCUUUGCAAACAAACAGGACACACUGUGGUCAUCAUGGUGUUUCCUCAGGAGAUAUGACUCAUUAGAUAAACCCAUGAUGCAACGCUCACAUUUAUACGUAUCACAGUCUGUGAAGUGCUUCCCAGAACAUCGUACUCCAGCAGCAUGUGCUGGAUAGACACAGAUAAUGACAGAAGUACUGAAGACUAAUGGACCAAAACUCCUACAAAGUUCUCUUUACACCCCUUUAUUAACUCAGAUCUUCUGGUAGCACAUAUGUUUAACCAUUCCUGAGGUUAAUGUCUGUAAAAGAGGAUUGAUGAAAAUGUUUUUAUUUACAAAUCUCAGUGUGUGUUCUCUUGUUCAGAAAGGCAAUUUAUCAUAUUUGACUGAUUUAGUUCAUCCAGAACCACUAAGAUCAACAACAGGCGAUGUUUAAAUCUCUGCAGAUCUAGCUGACUGACAGUGAGGGAUGAUACAACCUGUUAAAAACAUGUCUAAACUGAUCUGUCUUAAUCUGAAAUUUACAAGUGACUUAAUUUAUGUUGCAAUAUGUUUCUCAAAGUGAUUAAGCUGAUUCUUACAGUAUUAAAAACACACUUUAAACUGUAUUAUCUUAUACAUAGGACGACGCCUGGCUUAAAAAGUCUUUAAUGAGAAGAAAAGGCUGCUUCUUCAUAAAUCUUAGUAAAUAUUUACUCCUUAUAGAUUUGCACAUCAGACUACACUACAUUAGGUGGCAACAUACCCUUUUCAGCUCACUACUAUGAGGUCGUCUUCAAAGGUCCUCUCCUGGUUGCUUAUUACAUAUGAAAAGAGUGGGAAAAAUUAGCAAGAGGCUAACAGGAUGUACAUUGAAGGAGAAAAACACUGUUUGUCCUUUUUUAAUAGUCCUUUCUUAGUCUGUUGAGGUUUCGUUUACUACGCAGCUUCCAAGCAAUGCAUUUGUGCUGUUCAAGUACUGGCUUCAAGCCCAGCGUCCAAACACAGGAGCAUGCACAGAACACUUAGGCCCACUGAGCCUUACACAUGGAAGAGAAAAUCCAUCCCCAGCUGCAUUAUCCAAGUAUGUAAGUCUCUGAGAAGUUCAGUGUAGUGCGAUUUUAGUCAGACUGUGUUUCUGUUUCUGAAGCCUAGUUUCAGUCUGACUUCAGCAAUAAAUGGAAUUUUAAACAGCAUGUGAAUGUACUGAAUGUCUAACUUUAGCCGCAACAACAAGAAAGAAUACUUGAGCUUCUGAAUUUACUACAGCAUGAAAGUUUUUCAAGAUCUAGUUUGUGAACAUCUGCAAAGGUUUAACUGCCUGUCUACAGAGAAACUGUGUAAGAUAUCAUAGCUACAUGUGCAUGUGGUCUUAGUCUUUCUCUGGCAGCAACCAGUGCACAGAACCACUGCUGCCCCCAUAUGAACCAGUUUGUUACACAAUAUUAUCACCUGCUUAUUUUAGCACAAUAUCAAUGUUUCAUCUUUAAAAAUAUAGUUAUUAUUGACACCCAGAUAUUGUGAAAGACUUGUGCCUAGUAGUCAUUAAAGUCCCACUCCGAUCAUUUUUUUUUACUACUUACAGUGUUCUCAGUGGUCUUGAAAUUGUGAUUAUAAAGUUUUUAGCCAAAAUCACGUUCCCUGUGUCAUUUUCAAGGACUUUUCUUCUGCAGAGCUCCAGUAGCUCAUUAGCAAUUCGCCUCUGAGUCGUAGGCGGAGACAGCGCACUCUGCACACUCCUCUUCACGCGAGCUUACUGCCUAACAUUGCUUGUGCAGCAGAAGUGGCAGGUAACAUAGGAGCUAUUCAGCUCUCAGACACUAAAGUCUUCUGGGACAUGAUGAAAACUAAUAUCAUAAUUAGCUUUAUAACGAGCAUUGCAAUCCGCUAACACACAUGCUGGUUCCAUGAUUGUACUCUGUAUUACUCUGAGACUGGCCUGCUGAGUGGGACUCCGGGGUGGAGCUGGGAGUUGCUACGUAGGAAAUCUCACUGAAUCUAAGUCUGCCGUUUGGGUCUGCCAGAGAUUCACAGCGAUUUGAAUGCAGAAAUACUUAGAAAUGCAAUUUUGCACAGAUUUUUCUCAUAAUACGUCUUUUAGCAUCAGAAAAAUGUCAUAUGAACAUGUUGACAACAAGCAAAACUUGAUUUUAGAUGGAGUGGCUCUUUAAGUCUCGAAAUGUGUCAUUCAGGGCCCGGGUCACAAUCAAAUAAAUGGAAUGAAUUUGUGCUGUGUUAUGCUCAAACAGUCAUUGUUUAGCCUAAAACAUCAGCACCCAUAGCUAACAGUUUUAAUAUUUAAUCUGAUUUUAUGGUGAAAGCUGAUGAGCAGAUAACAUUUGAAAGUAAAUCUCUAAUUUAAGCUUCUCUGCAAUGCCACAUUGCAUGUCACACCAGUUAAAAUUGCUUUGAAAAUUGCUUUGAAAGCUGGAGUCACGGUGGUCACGCUCCAAUCCCAACCUCAUGAGCGCCCGCCCUCUUUGGCCUCCUUCCCCGUCGACUCCUCGAGAGCUGGAGGAGAUUUUAAUGAAGCAGAACAAACUGGCAGAGAGAGACAGAAAUGGGAGAAGUGAUUGAUUUCUCCUCACUGCUCUACCUCCUUUGUAAGUCACUGCUAAAUGCCUUAAAUGUAAAACAUAUGUUAAUGUGCAGAGGGGGAGAAGAAGUAUAAAUGAAAGGAGACGCAGAUAAUGGUGACACAUGUUGGGUCCUGAAGAGGUUGCAUAAUGUGCAGAGGCAGUGGCAGAGGGAGUUCAACAUUCAGUGCCAUGUGUUUGUCUGCUCCCUGCCUCAAAGGGAUACUUAUUAUAUUUUUAGUCUGCGCAGGUUGGCAGGUUUGUGUGACACGAGGGUUUAAAUACCUUUUUGUACAGAUUAAAUAUAAAGGAAACAAAAGAAGAAGGAGGGGUGAGAAAGCUUGUCUACAAGGCGAGUUUAAGCGCUCGGCGUGUUGCCUGAGGGAGAUGAAUGUUUAAAGUGACAGCAGGCUGCUUUGCAUACCACACCGCUUUGUUGGUCCUUUGACUUUGAACUACCGGUUUCAUUGAUUUCACUUCCCUCCCAACAGGUGGGUGUCAGUCAUUUCUCACACCAAGCUCGGCUACUUCACAUCAAGUUUUUGUUGGAUCAGUGACUCAAAAACAUGCGUUAACACGUAUUUAUUUUGUUCACUUGUGCCACUGAAUCCUUUAAAGAAUAGAGCCAUGAGAUUAAAAAAGGUUGUAAGAGGAAAGUGAAACAAAAAACUUCAUGAGUCAUUUGGAUGCUGGAUGAACAAGCAAACAAAUACAUGACUGAUCAUGAAGAAAACAAAGCUAAGUGCCUGCAGGUAAAAAAAAGGUUAACACUGUCACACGUAAAACUAAAAGUUGAAGCUAUAAGGAACAAUUUUUGUCGCUGUUAACUAAGUAAUUACCCUUUUACUGUUUCUGAUUUUGUCUCAUUCUUGAAAAAUGUAGUUAAUUGACAAAAAUCAAAUCUUUUACAGUGAAGUUUAUGAAUUGCCAUGAUCACUUUUAGUCUCAAACAAAGCUUUGGUUCCUGAAAAUGACUGAACCAUUUUCCCUCAGGUGGUUAUCCAUCUGUUAAGAGCAACAAGUGUAACGCUGCAUCACAAACACGUACAUUAGAGUGUGUAUAAACAUGGUGUGGGGUUGAGUUGUCACCAGCUUGGUAUAAAACUUCCUGACAUUGGAAGUUUUCCUGAUGUUGCUUUUCUUGAUGCAAACGAUCAACAGAGUGACUUCUUCAAGAGCUGGAAGCAGCUUAUGAACCUUCUCAGUGCUGUGCCAGAAGAGUCCAAACACACUUUGACUUGUAUGAAAGUAAAGCGAAGCUGCAGACUUCACAUCAGACCAGUCAUGAAACCACCACGGCUCGAUUAGUGGCAGCUAUAGUGGUGUCCAACAGUUGUGUAGUGUCCUGUGGGAUUACAUAACACAUGUGGGCUCUGUGAAACACAUGAAUAGAAAAUCUGCCAGCAAGUGGACUGCAUCCACUCCUGCUGCUGUCAUAAGUUUGGCUCUGUAAAGGCUGCUCAGUCUCCAGUUGCAGACCUACAGGAGGAGUCGUAUACAUUAAGUACGUCUCCACUCAUUCUAUCUGCCUGGUAAACUGACCGGGUGGAUUCUGGUUUCUUUUGAGAGCAUCUUUGUAUGUCAGUAUUUGUAAGAGGGUUUCUUUCCAUGCAAACAGACCCUCUGUAUUUACAGUUUCUAACCAAUCCCAUUGUUGCAGUCUAAUAACAUGAGCUACACUGAGUUUUUGUUGGACCCAGGAGACUCAUAGCGGCUCAGUUAUUGGUUUUGUGUGUUUCUCAGCCCAGUUAUGACCAUGAAUAAGCCCUUUAACCAACCAGUUAGGAGGUACGCUCUAUGUAUACCUGAGAUCAGUCCACCUUUUGGAGCUCUUUUUCUCAAAAUGUCUCUGAUAAUCUGAUUUGACCCAGAUGACAUGGUUCUGGUCUAAACAUGACUUCAGAUUGAACUCUCCACAAUGGUUGGACAAAGCAGCAUCUACUGUAGACUUAGGUUUUCCCAGCAGUAGGUCAUUUUUAGAACAGCAAGAAAAGCCAAUUAAAAAUCCCAAGAUGCAUUUUAAGUGCAGGAACUUUACCCUGGGACAAGAGACUUUAGGAUGUACUCAAAACAUUUCUAUUGUUGGGCCAGAGUCUAAAUAAAUGUCAAAAUCUGAGCAGUGAGCGGGGCACAGAGAUGUAAGCAAAGGGGGAGAGAGAUCUCAGAAGACAAGACAUUUCACAUAAACUCAUGUUAUUUGUUAAUUGAUACAGUUUACUGCAGCAAACGUAACUGUCUCCACACACCAAGUGCGAGUAAAAUCAUUUGAGCAGAUGAAUUACAUGUUAAGUCAAUGCAAAGACACGAUUAGAUGCUCGUACUACUCUGGUGGCGUGAAAGACGCGAAUUGGGGGGAAGCUGAAAAAGGUUUCAACUUGAGCGGAUAUCCGAGAUAACUAAUCAGCACUAAGGUUGCCAGGUGACAUAUGAAAACAGACGGUUGUUCACUGGUAUCUAAAAUGGAGGACAAACUGAUCGUGUGGGUCUGUGGGUCCCCCAAAUUAUAUGAUACUUUUUCUUUCAAUUACCAAAACCAGAAUAAAAAGGAACUCGCCUGGAGGCAAGUGAGUGAGGAGGUCAUAUUACCUGGUAAAUUGUGAAAAAAAACUUUGUCUAUCACUUGAUCCCACUGGUUGAAUUGGCAAGAAUUACCGUUAAAAUUACUGUUGAUGCGCGAAUAAAGCGAGUAAAUACUUUUCAUUCACAUGCCUAGAUUCGCGCAAAUUAAGCAAGUAGAUGAUUUUACUCGCGCUUGGUGUGAGUGCCCCAAUUUUUGACUUCAUUGAAAGUUCACUCUAAGUUUGAACAAAGAUCCAUACGAGUUACUUCUUUUACUUAUUGUCUCUGAUGCAAUUUUAGAAUAAAAGCCUUGUGUGAAAACAAAGAUAAAUAAAAACAGAUCAGACUUUUGCUUUGAAAAAGCAUUCAUAAAGUACAGUCCUAGUGUCCCCUCCAGGCUUUUAAUAAUAAAAAUAGCUGAUACAGAGUAAACACAGCCUUUAGUUUACCAUUAUUCUGCAUAUUUUUGGCCGAGAUCCAUGUAACUCUGAAUGGUUUAAACUGUACUUCUAUGCCAAACUUCUAGCUGUCUUGCAGCUGUUGUGUAGCAAACAUGCUUCCUGUGUGAAGAACCAUGGAAGGGUACAGUCUGCUGCAGAAACUCAAGCAAGAGUUUACCGAACAAAAUCAUGCCAUAUUGAGAUCUGCUAUUUCAGAAUGACUUUGAAUUGGCCCCCUUAUAAUAACUGUUACUCAUGAUUAUUUCUGAAUACUUAGUUGACAUCUUUAUUAUGGUAAUGUAGAAAAAAAAAGAAAGGUGCGGGGUCAUUUCAGUCCCUCAGAAGUUACUGAGUGACCACCAGCUGCAUGUACUCUUCACACCGUGUGUCAAUAUGUGUAGAGAGCCAGAGAAACAGAUACUGUACACAAAUCUGAAGGUCAGAGGCAAGUUACCAAGUAGCCAACUACGACGGCUCUUGUGCUGAUUUGACAGCAGGGAUCAGAUGAUGUCUGUUAUGCAACUGUGUACGACUCUGCGCCAACUUCAGUCCCAGUGAGUGUGUAUGUGUGUGUUUCAGAGAGACAGGGUGGUUAAAUGGUAAUGAGAGAACAAAAGCAAACACUAGUAACUAUUUAUAUUGCAACAUCAGUGAAGCUUAGACCUUCAGACACAGAGAGUGUUAAAUUUACAGCCUGUAUGUCCUUCCACACACUGAAACACUUUUUCCUUUAAGGAAAUUUUAACAUCUGUGGUUCUCCAUCGAAAACAAAAACACAGGUUGAGGGUUCCUCUUAGGGCUGCAGGAGCUGAGAAGGUUCCUCUUAAUGACCUAAGUAGAUCAUAACUCCUGCUGUGUGGAAUAAAAAAAAGGGACUCAGUUCCUAGAACUUUACAAAACUUUCUACGAUCUGCAAACACCUUGUGAGACUCAAUUUGUCAAGAUUUUGCCAUUAAAAAUGUCGAUCAGUGCUAAAACUUGCUGACACUACUAAGAAAUCUGUGAUAAAAGCUGCCUCAGUGUUUUCUGUCUAGCCAUCUCUACUUUGCUCAUCUUUCAGAUCACCUUAGGCAGAGAGGUCUCUGGAGUUUUGACCCCCAUUUAAAGUCUUGGACCCACAAACAUCUCUCAAAGGAGGAGCCUCAGUGUUAAACCUGAUCUGAGCAGCCAACAGAGAACAGUUCAGUCCCACAUGUGUUGAAUUAAAUCCUCCUUUUGGCAUCCCAGAAA